CACUAUCACAGAUAUUGUAUACAAAGAUGAAACAUAUAUAUUAAUUUACAAAACAAAAGAAAAAUACUAGUUCAAUAUUUACUCUUCAUGUUAAGUCUAAAUAUAUAGUAGCAAAAUUUUAGAGAUGAAACAAAAAUUGCUUAAUGUAAAGGAACAUAAUACAGUAAAAUUACUAUUAUAGCACUUUCUUGUGUAUGUGAAAAUUUGGACACUGUAAAUUCAGUAAAUAAUGUGUGAUUUUUUCAUUCUAUUUUUUGAAAUUUAUAAUUUUGGUCUUCAGAAAAAACUGCAUAGAGAUCAAUGUAUCAGGUAUAAGAAUUCAAGUAAAAUGAAAGCAUACUAAGUCUAACAUCCUUAUCAGAUCUAAAUUCCUGAUUGGUCAUUUCAUUUGUUUAUUGUCAUAAUAGUAAAGUCAUAUAUGAAGGUACAGAAUUUCUUUUAGAAUCAAGUCUGUGGUCUCACAUUAGUGUCAGCUGUAAAAGAUUCAACUAAUAAAUGCAAACUUUGAGUUGCUGUCUCAUUAACCAACAUCACCAUUGUUCAUAAACAUUUAAUUCUGAAAAUACAAUAAACUCAUCAUAAACACUAGGCUUUAAAUUUUGGAUGCAAAAUUUGUGUUUCGUCUACAAAGACUCACCAGUUACUCUCAAAUAAAAUAAAAAAAUCUUUCAUUCCAGAAUGCACAAAAUUAUAACAUUUUCACAAUUUGGACUAAAACAAAGUUUACUUUUAAACCUUUACCUUCACCCAACUAAGGUGCAAUUGAAUGUAAAUGUUAAAACCAGUUUUAAUUGAUUCUCUGUUAUCUUUACCAAUGAAACUAAUAUAACUAAAAAAAAACUCUGAACAGAGCUAACAAAUAGUUCCUUUAUAUCCCCAUUUGUGUAGAUAUGGCAUAGUCCAAUGUUUUUUUGGGAAACCCUAAAAAUCAUUUAAAAUUUCAAAUCAACAAUAAUAACUUGGUGCACAAUGCAAUUAGGCACUAAAAAUUUUCAGAAAGCAUCCUAAAAAUCUAUAAAAUCAGAUAUAGGAAGAAUUGAAGAUAUUGAAGUGAAAUAGACAUACUACGUACAAUUAUGUACACACUGGCUUCAAUAAGUGAUGAUAAUAUUUCAAAACAAGAAUGUGUCCACAGUACACGGAUGCCCCACUCACACUAUCAUUUUCUAUGUUUAAAGGACUGUGAAAUUGG
rnacentral:lncRNA from 1 species